rnacentral:rRNA from 1 species
AGUGGGGAAUAUUGCGCAAUGGGCGGAAGCCUGACGCAGCGACGCCGCGUGAGGGAUGACGGCCUUCGGGUUGUAAACCUCUUUCAGCAGGGACGAAUUUGACGGUACCUGUAGAAGAAGCACCGGCCAACUACGUGCCAGCAGCCGCGGUAAUACGUAGGGUGCGAGCGUUGUCCGGAAUUAUUGGGCGUAAAGAGCUCGUAGGCGGUCUGUCGCGUCGAAUGUGAAAACCCGGGGCUCAACUCCGGGCUUGCAUUCGAUACGGGCAGGCUAGAGUUCGGUAGGGGAGUCUGGAAUUCCUGGUGUAGCGGUGAAAUGCGCAGAUAUCAGGAGGAACACCGGUGGCGAAGGCGGGACUCUGGGCCGAUACUGACGCUGAGGAGCGAAAGCGUGGGGAGCGAA